rnacentral:rRNA from 1 species
GUAGGGGGCAAGCGUUAUCCGGAUUUACUGGGUGUAAAGGGAGCGUAGACGGCACGGCAAGCCAGAUGUGAAAGCCCGGGGCUCAACCCCGGGACUGCAUUUGGAACUGCUGAGCUAGAGUGUCGGAGAGGCAAGUGGAAUUCCUAGUGUAGCGGUGAAAUGCGUAGAUAUUAGGAGGAACACCAGUGGCGAAGGCGGAUUGCUGGACGAUAACUGACGGUGAGGCGCGAAAGUGUGGGGAGCAAACAGGAUUAGAUACCCUGGUAGUCCACACUGUAAACGAUGAAUACUAGGUGUGCGGGGACUGACCCCCUGCGUGCCGCAGUAAACACAAUAAGUAUUCCACCUGGGGAGU